rnacentral:rRNA from 1 species
AAAUUGAAGAGUUUGAUCAUGGCUCAGAUUGAACGCUGGCGGCAGGCCUAACACAUGCAAGUCGAACGGUAACAGGAAGAAGCUUGCUUCUUUGCUGACGAGUGGCGGACGGGUGAGUAAUGUCUGGGAAACUGCCUGAUGGAGGGGGAUAACUACUGGAAACGGUAGCUAAUACCGCAUAACGUCGCAAGACCAAAGAGGGGGACCUUCUGGCCUCUUGCCAUCGGAUGUGCCCAGAUGGGAUUAGCUAGUAGGUGGGGUAACGGCUCACCUAGGCGACGAUCCCUAGCUGGUCUGAGAGGAUGACCAGCCACACUGGAACUGAGACACGGUCCAGACUCCUACGGGAGGCAGCAGUGGGGAAUAUUGCACAAUGGGCGCAAGCCUGAUGCAGCCAUGCCGCGUGUAUGAAGAAGGCCUUCGGGUUGUAAAGUACUUUCAGCGGGGAGGAAGGGAGUAAAGUUAAUACCUUUGCUCAUUGACGUUACCCGCAGAAGAAGCACCGGCUAACUCCGUGCCAGCAGCCGCGGUAAUACGGAGGGUGCAAGCGUUAAUCGGAAUUACUGGGCGUAAAGCGCACGCAGGCGGUUUGUUAAGUCAGAUGUGAAAUCCCCGGGCUCAACCUGGGAACUGCAUCUGAUACUGGCAAGCUUGAGUCUCGUAGAGGGGGGUAGAAUUCCAGGUGUAGCGGUGAAAUGCGUAGAGAUCUGGAGGAAUACCGGUGGCGAAGGCGGCCCCCUGGACGAAGACUGACGCUCAGGUGCGAAAGCGUGGGGAGCAAACAGGAUUAGAUACCCUGGUAGUCCACGCCGUAAACGAUGUCGACUUGGAGGUUGUGCCCUUGAGGCGUGGCUUCCGGAGCUAACGCGUUAAGUCGACCGCCUGGGGAGUACGGCCGCAAGGUUAAAACUCAAAUGAAUUGACGGGGGCCCGCACAAGCGGUGGAGCAUGUGGUUUAAUUCGAUGCAACGCGAAGAACCUUACCUGGUCUUGACAUCCACAGAACUUUCCAGAGAUGGAUUGGUGCCUUCGGGAACUGUGAGACAGGUGCUGCAUGGCUGUCGUCAGCUCGUGUUGUGAAAUGUUGGGUUAAGUCCCGCAACGAGCGCAACCCUUAUCCUUUGUUGCCAGCGGUCCGGCCGGGAACUCAAAGGAGACUGCCAGUGAUAAACUGGAGGAAGGUGGGGAUGACGUCAAGUCAUCAUGGCCCUUACGACCAGGGCUACACACGUGCUACAAUGGCGCAUACAAAGAGAAGCGACCUCGCGAGAGCAAGCGGACCUCAUAAAGUGCGUCGUAGUCCGGAUUGGAGUCUGCAACUCGACUCCAUGAAGUCGGAAUCGCUAGUAAUCGUGGAUCAGAAUGCCACGGUGAAUACGUUCCCGGGCCUUGUACACACCGCCCGUCACACCAUGGGAGUGGGUUGCAAAAGAAGUAGGUAGCUUAACCUUCGGGAGGGCGCUUACCACUUUGUGAUUCAUGACUGGGGUGAAGUCGUAACAAGGUAACCGUAGGGGAACCUGCGGUUGGAUCACCUCCUUACCUUAAAGAAGC